CGAAAGCCUGACGGAGCAACGCCGCGUGUGGGAAGAAGGCCUUUGGGCUGUCAACCACUUUUCUCAGGGAAGAAGUUCUGACGGUACCUGAGGAAUCAGCCUCGGCUAACUCCGUGCCAGCAGCCGCGGUAAUACGGAGGAGGCAAGCGUUAUCCGGAAUUACUGGGCGUAAAGCGUCCGUAGGGGGCUCGUCAAGUCUGCUGUCAAAGCUCGGAGCUCAACUCCGACCCGGCAGUGGAAACUGGGGAGCUAGAGGGCGGCAGGGGCAGAAGGAAUUCCCGGUGUAGCGGUGAAAUGCGUAGAGAUCGGGAAGAACAUCGGUGGCGAAAGCGCUCUACUGGGCCGCAACUGACACUCAGGGACGAAAGCUAGGGGAGCG
rnacentral:rRNA from 1 species